rnacentral:rRNA from 1 species
GACGAACGCUGGCGGCGUGGAUUAGGCAUGCAAGUCGAACGGUAUCAUCCUUUCGGGGGUGAGAGAGUGGCGAACUGGUGAGUAACACGUAGGUUAUCUACCCUCAAGACGGGGACAACCCAGGGAAACUUGGGCUAAUACCGGAUGAAAGCAGCAGUGAUGUUGUUUGAAAGGUGGCGUAAGCUGCCGUUUGGGGAUGAGCCUGCGCUCUAUUAGUUAGUUGGCGGGGUAAAGGCCCACCAAGGCGAUGAUAGAUAGGCGGCCUUAACGGGUGGUCGCCCACACUGGGAUUGAGAUACGGCCCAGACUCCUACGGGAGGUAGCAGUCGAGAAUAGUCUACAAUGGCCGAAAGGCUGAUAGUGCGACGCCGCGUGAACGAAGAAGCCCUUCGGGUGUAAAGUUCUUUUAUAUGUGAGCAGUGCUUUCUAUGUGAACAGCAUGGGGAGAGAGAUAUAGCAUAUGAAUAAGCAACGGCUAACUCCGUGCCAGCAGCCGAC